UACGUAGGGCGCAAGCGUUAUCCGGAAUUAUUGGGCGUAAAGAGCUCGUAGGCGGUCUGUUGCGUCGGCUGUGAAAACCCGGGGCUCAACUCCGGGCCUGCAGCCGAUACGGGCAGACUAGAGUUCGGCAGGGGAGACUGGAAUUCCUGGUGUAGCGGUGAAAUGCGCAGAUAUCAGGAGGAAGACCGGUGGCGAAGGCGGGUCUCUGGGCCGAUACUGACGCUGAGGAGCGAAAGCGUGGGGAGCGAACAGG
rnacentral:rRNA from 1 species